ensembl:snoRNA U8 U8 small nucleolar RNA
UCGUCAGGUAGGAUAAUCCUUACCUGUUCCUCCGUUUGGAGGGCAGAAUAGAAUAUGAUGAUUGGAGCUCGCAUGAUUCGUGAUUAACGGCUCUGCGUGAUCAGGACUUGCAACACCCUGAUUGCUCCUGUCUGAU